rnacentral:tRNA from 1 species
AGGUGGGACCCUGAGGAAGGGGGAGUUAGCCGAUAACUAACUCUUAGUUAGUUCAACUCUAGCCCCAUCUU